rnacentral:rRNA from 1 species
CCCUUAGAUGUCCGGGGCCGCACGCGCGCUACACUGAAGGAAUCAGCGUGGCUUUCUCCCUGACCCGAAAGGGUUGGGAAACCCGUUGAAUCUCCUUCGUGAUAGGGAUUGGGGCUUGAAAUUGUUCCCCAUGAACGAGGAAUUCCCAGUAAGCGCGAGUCAUAAGCUCGCGUUGAUUACGUCCCUGCCCUUUGUACACACCGCCCGUCGUUACUACCGAUUGAACGGUUUAGUGAGGGCCUCGGAUUGGUCUCGGCCCGCUCUUUACCGGGCGGCGCCGUUGGUCGAGAAGACGCUCGAACUUGAUCGUUUAGAGGAAGUAAAAGUCGUAACA